GUAAUCCCAAACAGUUGUACUAGCUCAUAAGUAAUAAGGUCAUAACAGUCAAAUGUCGUUAUGCAGUUGACCAAACUAUAAAGUGUUGAGCUCUGUUGAGAUUUAUGCCACUUUAAUUGAAGAGGGCUCAAUAUUUUAUAGGUAAUUUGUGUGGAACGCUCAAAAAAGUUUAGGUAGUGUCAUGACGUUAUCGACGUCAUGACGUUCUGGUGGGUGGGUCAUCUCUCCCUCAGGAAAGCUGAGUCAGCCAUCUUGAAUUUGCCUUGAUGCGGGGAUGUGGAACACAGUUUAAUUUGUUUUAAUUUGUUUGCAAUGCGCACUUUUAUGCUGCCCGCUUGAAACCACCACCACCUCCGUUUUUAUCAUUAGUCUUAUUGCCUUCGUUUUCUUAAGCGCCAUCUUAUCAUCACCUCUGAUUUGCAGGUCUCCUGGAUGAACUACAUUUCCCAUAAUGCAUGUUUGCCCGGGACAUUGACGGUGGAGGAAGGUCCAUGAGUUUUCGCUGUUCGCCGGUAAUGCAAGUGCGUACUGCUCAAGUGUGUGGUUGUGAGAUCAUCUCGAAAUCCUUUUAACAGUUCAGGAACAACGUGAUGUAAAUAUGAGACGGGCCCUCGUCCUUCGUGCACUUCCUGUGUACCUGCGUGAAGAUGCCUCCAAGUUUUUCAGGACCUGUAAUUCAGCAGAUGGUCCAGACCUCACUGACACUCCGGUGGCUCUCCUGACAGUUGUCACUGAUGAUACUACUGAUGCGGCCCUCUUCAGCCCUGAGAGCAUCUGUAUUGUCGUGGAAGAUUAAAUACUUGUGAGUGGUCCCACACACCUGGCUGACUCAUUUCUCCUGCUCUUUGGGUAUGUCUAUGCACUAGACCUACAGUACCCAAAGAAUCUUGAGCUUACAUUCACAUUUAUCCAAAAAGUUGUGAUGUGUCUUGAGGACAACAAACCACUGAAAGAGCGUCUACUGACACUGAAGAAUGAUUUGUUCAAUGAGUGAAUCACUCAGAAUGGACUAUUUGUUGAGCUGAGUAUUGAGGAUGUUUGUUUUUUUCCCCUCUUUACAAAUGUAAUAAUUUGCCUCUUCUACCUCAUGUUUAAUAUGUUACACUGUUUGCCUCUUCUACCUCAGAUUUAAUACAUUGAUUGUUAAUAGAUAAAUAUCACAACAUUGAAGUAUUGCCAAGCCCAAGUUUUUGUACUGUACUUGUGGGAAACGACUGUUGAAUUCAUGCACUAUACAUGUUUAAUGUUGUGUGACCUAAUGCUUACCUUGAUGUUGCCAGUUGAAGUACGGCACAGUAGAAACCAGUACUUUUAUUUGAAUGUUUUAUUUUAAAAAGUGAGUUGCAGCCUUC